ACUCCUACGGGAGGCAGCAGUGGGGAAUAUUGCACAAUGGGGGAAACCCUGAUGCAGCCAUGCCGCGUGUGUGAAGAAGGCCUUCGGGUUGUAAAGCACUUUCAGCGAGGAGGAAAAGGGGUGUAAGUUAAUACCUUACAUCUGUGACGUUACUCGCAGAAGAAGCACCGGCUAACUCCGUGCCAGCAGCCGCGGUAAUACGGAGGGUGCGAGCGUUAAUCGGAAUUACUGGGCGUAAGCGUGCGCAGGCGGUUUGUUAAGCGAGAUGUGAAGCCCCGGGCUCAACCUGGGGAACCGCAUUUCGAACUGGCAAACUAGAGUCUUGUAGAGGGGGGUAGAAUUCCAGGUGUAGCGGUGAAAUGCGUAGAGAUCUGGAGGAAUACCGGUGGCGAAGGCGGCCCCCUGGCACAAAGACUGACGCUCAGGCACGAAAGCGUGGGGAG
rnacentral:rRNA from 1 species